rnacentral:rRNA from 1 species
UACGGGGGGGGCAAGCGUUGUUCGGAAUCAUUGGGCGUAAAGCGCACGGUAGGCGUGCUCGACAAGUUGGAUGUGAAAGCCCUUGGCUCAACCGAGGAAGGUCGCAUCCAAAACUGGCGGGCUUGAAUCUCGGAGGGGGCCAGGAGAAUUCCCGGUGUGAGAGAUGAAAUUCGUAGAUAUCGGGAGGAAUACCAGUGGCGAAGGCGCUGGCCCUGGACGAAGAUUGACGCUGAGGUGCGAAAGCGUGGGGAGCAAACAGGG